rnacentral:rRNA from 1 species
CCUACGGGGGGCUGCAGUGGGGAAUAUUGGACAAUGGGGGCAACCCUGAUCCAGCCAUGCCGCGUGUGUGAAGAAGGCCCUCGGGUUGUAAAGCACUUUCAGUGAGGAAGAACGCCUGGUGGUUAAUACCCAUCAGGAAAGACAUCACUCACAGAAGAAGCACCGGCUAACUCCGUGCCAGCAGCCGCGGUAAUACGGAGGGUGCGAGCGUUAAUCGGAAUUACUGGGCGUAAAGCGCGCGUAGGUGGCUUGAUAAGCCGGUUGUGAAAGCCCCGGGCUCAACCUGGGAACGGCAUCCGGAACUGUCAAGCUAGAGUGCAGGAGAGGAAGGUAGAAUUCCCGGUGUAGUGGUGAAAUGCGUAGAGAUCGGGAGGAAUACCAGUGGCGAAGGCGGCCUUCUGGACUGACACUGACACUGAGGUGCGAAAGCGUGGGUAGCAAACAGGAUUAGAUACCCUAGUAGUC